rnacentral:rRNA from 1 species
AUUGAACGCUGGCGGCAUGCUUUACACAUGCAAGUCGAACGGUAACAGGGUGCUUGCACCGCUGACGAGUGGCGAACGGGUGAGUAAUGCGUCGGAACGUGCCGAGUAGUGGGGGAUAACGCAGCGAAAGUUGUGCUAAUACCGCAUACGUACUGAGGUAGAAAGUGGGGGACCUUCGGGCCUCACGCUAUUCGAGCGGCCGACGUCUGAUUAGCUAGUAGGUGAGGUAAAGGCUCACCUAGGCGACGAUCAGUAGCGGGGCUGAGAGGAUGAUCCGCCACACUGGGACAGAGACACGGCCCAGACUCCUACGGGAGGCAGCAGUGGGGAAUUUUGGACAAUGGGCGAAAGCCUGAUCCAGCCAUGCCGCGUGUCUGAAGAAGGCCUUCGGGUUGUAAAGGACUUUUGUCAGGGAGGAAAUCCCUAGUGCUAAUAACACUGGGGGAUGACAGUACCCGAAGAAUAAGCACCGGCUAACUACGUGCCAGCCGCCGCAGUAA